GCAUCCUUAGCUCAGUGGGAGAGAGCACCGGUCUUCUAAGCUGGGGGUCACAGGUUCGAGCCCUGUAGGGUGCA
rnacentral:tRNA from 1 species